rnacentral:rRNA from 1 species
UCAGCCUACGGGGCGCAGCAGUGGGGGAUAUUGCACAAUGGAGGAAACUCUGAUGCAGCGACGCCGCGUGAGGGAAGACGGUCUUCGGAUUGUAAACCUCUGUCUUUGGGGAAGAAAAUGACGGUACCUGACUAAGAAGCCCCGGCUAACUACGUGCCAGCAGCCGCGGUAAUACGGAGGGUGCGAGCGUUAAUCGGAAUUACUGGGCGUAAAGCGCUCGUAGGCGGUAUGUCAAGUCAAGGGUGAAAUCCCCGCGCUCAACGUGGGAACUGCCUUUGAAACUGGCAAACUGGAGUGUGUGAGAG